GACGAACGCUGGCGGCGUGCUUAACACAUGCAAGUCGAACGGUGAAGCGCCUUCCUUUUUGGUGGGUGUGGAUGAGUGGCGAACGGGUGAGUAACACGUGAGUAACCUGCCCCCUUCUUCUGGAUAACCGCAUGAAAGUGUGGCUAAUACGGGAUAUUCUGGGUCUGUCGCAUGAUGGGUCUGGGAAAGAUAUUGUUUCGGUGGGGGAUGGGCUCGCGGCCUAUCAGCUUGUUGGUGGGGUGAUGGCCUACCAAGGCGGUGACGGGUAGCCGGCCUGAGAGGGUGGACGGUCACGCUGGGACUGAGCCACGGCCCAGACUCCUACGGGAGGCAGCAGUGGGGAAUAUUGCACAAUGGGCGCAAGCCUGAUGCAGCGACGCCGCGUGAGGGAUGGAGGCCUUCGGGUUGUGAACCUCUUUCGCCAGUGAAGCAGGCCUGCCUCGUUUGUGGGUGGGUUGACGGUAGCUGGAGAAGAAGCGCCGGCUAACUACGUG
rnacentral:rRNA from 1 species